rnacentral:pre_miRNA from 14 species
AAUCCAGAGAGAGCAUUUCUGCACACACCAGACUAUUGCAAGCAGUGUGCGGAAAUGCUUCCGUUACAUU